GAUAAACGCUGGCGGCGUGCUUAACACAUGCAAGUCGAACGAAGUUUUUCCUUCGGGAGAAACUUAGUGGCGGACGGGUGAGUAACGCGUGGGUAACCUGCCCUGUACAGGGGGACAACAGCUGUAAACGGCUGCUAAUACCGCAUAAGCCCUUAGCACUGCAUGGUGCAUAGGGAAAAGGAGCAAUCCGGUACAGGAUGGACCCGCGUCUGAUUAGCCAGUUGGCAGGGUAACGGCCUACCAAAGCGACGAUCAGUAGCCGAUCUGAGAGGAUGUACGGCCACAUUGGGACUGAGACACGGCCCAGACUCCUACGGGAGGCAGCAGUGGGGAAUAUUGCACAAUGGAGGAAACUCUGAUGCAGCGACGCCGCGUGAGUGAAGAAGUAUUUCGGUAUGUAAAGCUCUAUCAGCAGGGAAGAAAAUGACGGUACCUGACGAAGAAGCACCGGCUAAAUACGUG
rnacentral:rRNA from 1 species